AUUUGAUCUGAAAUCAGGUGGGAUUACCCGCUGAACUUAAGCAUAUCAAUAAGCCGGAGGAA
rnacentral:rRNA from 1 species